rnacentral:lncRNA from 1 species
AUCGAUUUUUGGCAAACUUUUGAUGGAAUGAUAUUUUAAAUGGUUGAAUAUUUUAGGCAGCUUUGAUACACUAUUUCAUUGUUAAUUUUUAUGAAACGAUCGGGAUUCUGCCAGUGAGUAUUAAUACUUUCCAUACGAAUAUUAAACUCAUCAAGUUUCCAGUUUGGAGAAUUGGAUUUAUGCCAGCCACAAACCUACCAUUUCGGAAAGAAUUUUCCGUUUUACUGACAAAUAAGUUGUCAUAUUUUGACAACCAGAGCUUCGAAUCACAUGUUUUAAUCGUUCUCCUAAUUAAUGAGCCGAAACAUUUUCUAAUUAUCCACAGUUUAGAAAAAUCGAGAAAUGUUUUGGAUACAAUAUUUUUUAAAUUAACAUUAAUGGAC